UGUGGACUGGUGGGCAUUUGAUUUGCAUAUACUACCAAAGGAGGAGAGAGGCCUAGGUGAGAGGGUACGGUGGAUGGUUUCACCUCAUUUAUACUCAUCUUGAAAGAGAACUCAGAGCUGGACUCUUACUCCUAUUGCCCAGAUGGAUUUUAAAGAGACACGGGACCUCACUGUGAAAUGGUACUCCCGGUAACUAAGGAACCAGACUUCCUGUUUUCUCUUCACUAUGGAACUCACCUAUUUUAAGAUAGUCUCCCUUCAUCCAUUCUUGAUUCCUAAGCUUCUACUUUUUCAGUAAAAGUUCCUGCUUUUCAAGAAGUUCUUUUGAAGUCCUACCCUGGUUUGAACAACUUGUUGAGAAUUCAGCAACUUGAGGCAUGCCUGUUAGAGGAGACCACACCACCAGAUCAGAAAGCAGAGGAUGUAAUGUGUCCAGCAUUGCAAAGGCAGAGAGGAGAGCAGGAUUUUAGAUGCAGACCUGCCUGCCCACCAUGUCCAUGUUCUAUGACCACACUUUUCUCUUUCCUGUUCACGCCACAAAAGAUCUCACCGGCUGUGGGACCAGCAGAAGGAACACAAACCUUCAGGUACUCCCCAAGGUUCAAAUUCUCAAGCUAGCAGCGACAGCACUCAGAGGCCAGGGACCAUGAUCUGUUCAUCUUAUGCCCCAGCACCUGUCUUAGGACUCGGCAUAUAGGAGUCACUCAACAGUUUGCUGAAUUAAAUGAAAUUGAACUUGGCUUUGCUGCAUUUAACAAAAAUGUAAUCAUCAAUUAUAAUGUAUACCUUUGUUUUUUAUUCCUAAGAAGAAAGCACUACUGAUUAUAACUGUAAGAUAUAUACCAAUCAAUGAUGUACAUCAUCAGUUUUAAGAGAUGUUAAAUCUGAUUUCAAU
rnacentral:lncRNA from 1 species